CUGCUGAACUGGGAAAUCCCCACUGUAAACUGGAGACUCUGGGACUCGCUGGCUGUGAACUCACAGACUCAUCCUGUAAAGUGUUGGACUCAGUUCUCAGUUCAAACCCCUCACACCUGAGAGAACUGGAUCUGAGUAACAAUGACCUGAAGGAUUCAGGAGUGAAGCUGCUCUCUGCUGGACUGGGGAAUCCCCACUGUAAACUGGAGACUCUGAGACUCGCUGGCUGUAAACUCACAGACACAUCCUGUAAAGUGUUGGACUCAGUUCUCAGUUCAAACCGCUCACACCUGAGAGUGCUGGAUCUCAGUUACAAUGACCUGAAGGAUUCAGGAGUGAAGCUGCUCUCUGCUGUACUGGGGAAUCCCCACUGUAGACUGGAGACUCUGAGGUCAGUAUUCCAGUAGU